UACGUAGGGGGCAAGCGUUGUCCGGAAUCAUUGGGCGUAAAGAGCGCGUAGGCGGUCCGAUAAGUCGGUUGUGAAAACUGGGGGCUCAACCCUCAGAGGCCGACCGAUACUGUCGGGCUAGAGUCCGGAAGAGGCGAGUGGAAUUCCUGGUGUAGCGGUGAAAUGCGCAGAUAUCAGGAGGAACACCAGUGGCGAAGGCGGCUCACUGGACCGGUUCUGACGCUGAGGCGCGAAAGCGUGGGGAGCAAACGGG
rnacentral:rRNA from 1 species